GCAUUGAUAGUGUAGGGGUAUCAUGAGUCGUUGCCACUCAUCGUCCGGAGCAUCCGACGAUUAACCGAUUCGACUCGACCGGGGUUCGAGUCCCCGUCAAUGCA
rnacentral:tRNA from 1 species